CUCUUGGCUUCAGGCUCUGAAGCACUCCCCAUCUCAGGCCCAAACAGGAAUAAAAUCAGUUCCUUUCUCUGUUCCUCUUACUAGACUGAGAUCCACUGGGAUUGUCUGAGGGAAUUCUUGUGAAACCAGAAAGAAAGUUCAAGAAAUGAUGCAACAACAACAAAAUAAAACCCAGGAGAAAUAGUACGACAAGAAGUUAAAAGAUCGUGAGGAGAGGCCCUGCAGUGGAGGAGGAGAACCUGUUGGCCAGGAACUGCCAACAGCUUUUGUUCUGGAUAAGCCCCUCGUGGAGGAGGACAAGGCAAGAAGAUGGGUCUUCAUCCUAACCCACGGAAGCAGCGCUGGACUGAGAAGCACCACCUGCGAAACUCCCAGCCCCACUGAGUAACCUCCAGGGCAGGGGCAUGUCCCUGCUUACGAGCUCCCACCAGCCCGUCACACCCCCCCACCCACCUCAGAGGCUCCUGCCCCUGACCUGAGUGAGCUGUGUCUGAGUUGGGUCCCUCCUCCCUCCAAGGAGUGUGCUCUAUGGACAACAGCCUCUAUCCUCAUUUGUCCCUUCCUCCUAGCGCCUCCUUCUGCACCCCUGACCCCGCUCCAUGCUGUCACCUCCUCUGUAUGGCAGCUGGGCCUCGUCUGUCCUGGGACGGUGGCAAGCAUGUACAGAAGUCAUCUUCCUUAUUUCUCACUACCCCCAGCUUCCCAGAUGGGAAACUGAGGCUCAGAGAAAUGACAUAACUCAGCUGACAAAGGAUCUGAGUGGGUCUGACCCGCAAGCCCACCCUCUUCACCUCAUGCUGUCUAAAACAAUUACAGACACCUCCCACGAGCAGGAAAGCUCUGGAAAUGUCUUCUUGGAAAGCAAGCAGCUACCCAUGAACAGGACUUCUCAAAGCUUUUGGCCUUGGCCUCCCAAGGUGCUGGGACUACAGGCGUGGGUCACUGCACCUGGCCAAAGCUUUUGUUUGCUUAAAGUGCUUUGUAAGUUUAUAAGAGGAGGCUACAGAACCCAGAAAUCACCUAUGGAUUUGACCACGAGAUGCGCUGCUGAAUUCAUGGUGGGAAAUGCUGAUGAUCUCUGAUGGAGGCUGCUGGGUGGCUGCUGCCCUCACCCUGACCUGUCCUCCCCAGCUGGACGGGGGACUUCUAGGAGGGGGAGGGUCCCCACUGAAGAUGGACACAUGUCCUGUCAGAGUUUCUGAGAAGCUCCAGCCCUUAGGCAGAAUGGGACAAGGAGAAACAGACUUGGGUCUGUACUCGGGACUGCAGAAGCCGAGCAUGAGGAGUUGUGGGGACAGUGCCCCUCCUUCAUCCCCACCUCCCAGCCCCCCAGUAUCUCCUUCUCCCCCUGAUCCUUCCCUUGAUCAGGCCAGGGCCCUGUCAUUGUCCCAACAAAUGCCUACCGCCAGUUCAUCGCACCUUGUUUUCUCUGAUGUCCUCGCAAUCACACACCUUGUGCCCCUGAGCUGGGUACACGAUCCUUUGCAAUGUGUGCUACGAGAACUGUAUUGCUAAUAAUAAAGACAAAAUUUAAUGACUCCACUGGCUGAGCUUCUGGUAGGUCCCAGGCACGUUAGACAGACUAUUUCAUUAAUUCUCACCUCGGCAAUUUGAGGAAGGUCUUGCUGUCUCAGUAUCCUGAGUCUUAGACAGGUUCAAUGACUUGCACAAGGUCACAUAGCUUUUAAGUGACAGGGCCUGGCUGCCUUGGCUCUGAAGUGAGUUCUCUUUGCAACAACCUACCCAGCUGAGCCCCUCCUUUGUUUAGAGAAGGCUUCUCCUCUGAGCUGGGAAGAUCCAACUUUGACCCUCAAUUCUCAGAUGACAGUGGUUCAGUCAGGCAGGAACUAGCUGUACUAACAUGUAAACAAGUCACUUCUGCAAGGAGAGGCAGAGGCCAGUGCUUGCGCGAGCGUGACUGAUAAAGGAAUGGGGCGAGGGCUGAGGACUCUCUGGCUCUACCGAUUUAUGAUACUGAAAGUCAUCAAUCUUAAAGAGAGAUCUGCAUUCCCCAAGCUUUCUUCUCCCUGAGGGGCCUCUCCUAUCUCUCGCCAAUAUUGUGGCUCCCCUCAGCCGCAGGGGCAAUCUUUCUGGUUUUCUCUUAGGUCCAAACACGAACCAAAUAAAAUCCUCUUUUCCCUUCU
rnacentral:lncRNA from 1 species